GCAGCCUGUAGAGCUCAGUUGGUUCAAGGGUGGUGCUAAUAAAGCCAAGGUUGCAGGUUCGAUCCCUGUAUGGGACGGCUACA